AAAUUGCAUUUGCAUCUUGUGUUUUGUUUGUCUCUAUUCUCUCUUCCCUCCAUUCACGCUACACCUCAAUCCAUCACAUCUUCUUCUUCUUCCCAAUUCCCGAUUUCAAACCUCCACGCCCAGAUUCCGUUCUCCUCCCAACCAACCAUCACCCCAUCACGCUUCCCCGGAGUGGGACCCACUCCGAUCAACUUUCCUUUUUUACCCUUCCAACCCACACGGACAUGAAUCGCAUCUUCCGCUUCUCAAUCCUCCGCGUCAAAUGUAGCUCGAAGGAUUUCGAAUUUCUGUAA